rnacentral:rRNA from 1 species
GACAGAGGGUGCAAGCGUUGUUCGGAAUUAUUGGGCGUAAAGGGCGCGUAGGCGGCCCAUCAAGUCGGAUGUGAAAGCCCAGGGCUCAACCUUGGAAGUGCGUCCGAAACUGAUGAGCUAGAGUUCACGGAGAGGGUGGUGGAAUUCCCAGUGUAGAGGUGAAAUUCGUAGAUAUUGGGAGGAACACCGGUGGCGAAGGCGGCCACCUGGACGGAAACUGACGCUGAGGCGCGAAAGCGUGGGUAGCAAACAGG